rnacentral:tRNA from 1 species
GCCCCCGCAGCUCAGUGGUGAGAGCGGCGUCCUUAUAAGACGCGUCCGCGUCGGUUCGAUUCCGACCGGGGAUA